UCCAUUAACCUAAAAUCCCACACUGUAAACAAAAUAUAUUGGAUUCUAAUACAGAACAGUUCUGUUUUGGAGUAUACUGAAUGAUGAAUAACAUUUGAGGUAACUGUUAACCUGUACUUAGUAAUCAUUAUUACACCGUUGCAGGAGUACACAAUACUUAAAACUCAAACUCUGUCUUUAUGUUGAUUUAAAAUACACACUUGCAAAAAUUAGUCACUGGUAGUUUUGUGGUGGGUCCUGCUUUGCUAGUUGUCUUCAAGAUAAUAUUUCACAGACUGAUAAGAUGAAACAAUAUCAGCUUCAUUAUCACAACACAAUGAGCAACAAUGUAACAGCUGGAUGUGAUUUCCAGUGAACAAUUGCCCAAAUGUUGUACUUAGGAUGAGCUAAUCUCAAGUACGAUGGAUCUCUCAGGUAAGCUAUUCUCCUUUAGCUUGACCUUGUCAAAUCAACACUGUAUGCCUUAUGUAUGCACCCAUAUUAGGACUGGACUCUUUCCUUCCUCAGGCACUCCAUCACAAAAGAGAGGGAGUUGCUACCAGAUGGUUAAACAAACACAUCGCCCAACUGCCCAUAACUCAAAUCCACUUAGCACCCUCUUGUCAACAUGUCUCUCACUCGUUCACCACCUCUCCCUUCGUCAGCAUAUACAGGAAGGAUUGGAGGAAUGGGGUAAAAAAAAAAAAAGAAGAAGAAAUAAUGAGAAUCAGCAAAAAAAUUCCUAGGGGGUGUGUUUAAUUUUAAUCAACAAGACUAUCCAUCCUCAGUAGCUCUCAUCUCUCCCCCACUGUCCUUCCCUCACUCCCUUAGGUGUAUUGAAAUGAAGGGUAACAGCAAGCACCUGGAGUGACAACACGUGUAAGGGUCACAGAGACAAAGUCCAAACGUAAUGUUUGACUCAGGCUUUUUUUGAGCACUCACGGGGAGGAGUCCAGGACUCAGGCCAGGGGUUAAGAGUUUGUAGGUCAUUGGGUCAUGCAAUUUUCCCUUUUCCCUUGGCCUCAUCCAUGCGCUUAAAACCUCAGCGGUGUACUUGAGAGGGUAAUUUAUUGUUCCGAGCGCUGUCGAGCUUGG
ensembl:lncRNA